GCCAAUAUGGCGUAGUGGUUUGAGUGUGGGACUGAGACUCUGGAGACCAGGGUUCAAUUGCCUGCUCAGCCA